rnacentral:lncRNA from 1 species
CGUGCUGUGUCACUAGGUUCCCCAUCCUCAGCUUCUGAGAGCUGCAGACAUGGGGUAGCCCUGUGACACUCCCCCACACAUGUCCUCUGUCACCCACGUGUGGGCCCUAGUUUCCUUCCCAGACAGCAACUACAGCCAGACAUGCUGAGGCCUGCAGAAUUUCUCUUCCCACAUGAAUGACUGGGCCACUCUAUGCACAGCACAGCCCUGUGAGUGUUUGUCUCACUGCACCGGAAACACCACCAUGGAUUCCUUUUCUCAUUCCCUGGGCUGCUGACCUCAAAAAUAUGCAUCUCAACUCUAGAAGAUGUUGGCAAUCUGUGUUGUCCUUCCCACUCAACAGAGCUGAGCUGGCAAGCCUG